GACGAACGCUGGCGGCGUGCCUAAUACAUGCAAGUAGAACGCUGAAGGAGGAGCUUGCUUCUCUGGAUGAGUUGCGAACGGGUGAGUAACGCGUAGGUAACCUGCCUGGUAGCGGGGGAUAACUAUUGGAAACGAUAGCUAAUACCGCAUAAUAGUAGAUGUUGCAUGACAUUUGCUUAAAAGGUGCAAUUGCAUCACUACCAGAUGGACCUGCGUUGUAUUAGCUAGUUGGUGAGGUAACGGCUCACCAAGGCAACGAGACAUAGCCGACCUGAGAGGGUGAGCGGCCACGCUGGGACUGGGACACGGCCCAGACUCCUACGGGAGGCAGCAGUAGGGAAUCUUCGGCAAUGGACGGAAGUCUGACCGAGCAACGCCGCGUGAGUGAAGAAGGUUUUCGGAUCGUAAAGCUCUGUUGUAAGAGAAGAACGAGUGGGAGAGUGGAAAGUGCACACUGUGACGGUAUCUUAACAGAAAGCGACGGCUAACUACGUG
rnacentral:rRNA from 1 species